CUGGGUGGAAAGAGAGGCAGCGGCUGAGGCAGGGAGAGGCCAAGAGUGCGCGCUGGCUCCAAGGGCCAGGACACCUUGGCGGCUGCCAGGUAGGUCACUGCGCUGGUUGGGGCGCUGAGCACGGGACCGGCCGGCUUCAGCCACGUCCAGGCCCCGGCUGGCCACCAGGUGAGCGCUCCCGAGCGCUCCCAACGCGUCGCGGGCGGCCGUGCGUCCACCAGGCCAAGUACAGGUCAUGGAGCGGCGCCCGGGGGGCGGCACGGACCCUAGGGGAAGCAAAGGAGGCGGUGGCGGUCCCCAGCCCGAGGAUGCCAGCGCCAGACAGUUCCUGGCGCGGCUGAAAGCUCGCCCCUGGCGGCCUGAGCUGCGGCCGACGUGGCGGCGCUGGUACGCAGGGCCGGCGCCACCUUGCGCCUGCGCCCCAAGGAGGGUGCGUGAUGGGGCGUGGCCUUCCGGGGGCGUGGUCGGAGUGCAGCCUGGUUCCGAGGGUGCGGGCCCAGGAUUAUUAGUUACUCCCCUUGGUGGGAGGGCUUCCCUGGUGGCUCAGAGGGUAAAGCGUCUAUCCGCAAUGCGGGAGACCUAGGUUCGCUCCCGGGUCAGGAAGAUCCCCUGGAGAAGGAAAUGGCUAACCCACUCCAGUACUCUUUCAUGGAAAGUUCCACGGUCGGAGGGGCCUGGUAGGCUACAGUCCAUGGCAUCGCAAAGAAUCGUACACGAGUGAGCAACUUCACUUCUCUUGGUGGGACCAAUGAGUGUGAAUAUGGAGGCCCGCGCUCGGCUGUGAUUGGAGGGUGCUGGUUUUAGCCUAGAAUAUUCCUCUAGGAGGUGACAUAGAGAGGGUUAUUGGAGUAGUUGAACGCUGUAAGAUUAGCUGUGGGUGCGGAGUUUGAUAUUUACUUACGUCAGCGGGGUUUCAAGUGGUAUUUCUGAGGAGGCCAGGCCUGGAGAGGGUUGGGGGCGGGCAGUGGCUGAGGGGCAGGCCUGAAAUGUUAGUCAAGGGGGCGGAGUCUAUAAACGCACUGGGAGUGUGGCUGGAAUUGUCAGGAAUAAUAGGUUGAGGUUUUAUAGCCUAGUUGGUCUUCUCUUGUAGCUCAGUGGGUAAAGAAUCUGCCUGCAAUUCAGGAGACCCGGGUUCGAUUCCUGGGUGGGAUGAUCUCCUGGAGUAGGAAAUGGCAACCCAUCUAGUAUUCUUGCCAAAUCCCGUGGACAGAGGAAGUCUGGAGGGCUAUAGUGCAUGGGGUAGCUAUAGUACAUGAGUCGGAGACUUAAUGACUAAAACCCGGCUAAUUAGAGAGCAGGACCUGGAAUUCUGGAGAAGCACGGUGUAGGGUGGGCCUAAGGGUUUAAAAUGAGGGGCAAAAUCUGUGUUUUAUUUGAGGGAGGUAGGAUUGCUUGAAUAUUUGUUGCUAGGGUUGUUAGCUAAGGUGGGAUCAGGAUGGUUAUUCGGGUGGGUGGAGCCUGGAUGAUUACUUGAGGGUCUCGGCUUACAUACUAAGAGUGGUGAAACCCGGAUGUGAAUUCAAAGAGAAGCUGCUAGAAUGUUUAUACAGGGCGAGAGCCCUAUCCAGUUUCACAGGACCAUCAUUAAAGACUUUCUUUAGCAAUGUGGGAGACCUGGGUUUGAUUCCAGAAAGAUCCCUGGAGAAGGAAAUGGCUAACCCACUCCAGUACUCUUUCAUGGAAAGUUCCACGGUCGGAGGGGCCUGGUAGGCUACAGUCCAUGGCAUCGCAAAGAAUCGUACACGAGUGAGCAACUUCACUUCUCUUGGUGGGACCAAUGAGUGUGAAUAUGGAGGCCCGCGCUCGGCUGUGAUUGAGGGUGCUGGUUUUAGCCUAGAAUAUUCCUCUAGGAGGUGACAUAGAGAGGGUUAUUGGAGUAGUUGAACGCUGUAAGAUUAGCUGUGGGUGCGGAGUUUGAUAUUUACUUACGUCAGCGGGGUUUCAAGUGGUA
rnacentral:lncRNA from 1 species